ACAGAUGCGCUAACGUUCCUAUAAUCGCUGGUAUAAAUUCGCCUCUUUGAUAAUUAAGACGUGACAUUAAGUUUUACGAGCUCUCACGGCAAAGUACGACGUUAAGGUUUACGAUUGGGAUAGCCGUGCUGAUAAAUCAUGAUUCACAUUUCCUGGAAAGCUUUAAUCAUCCUAUCGGUGACAACAUUGAUCAUGUUUUUCAACCGUAAUAGAGACGAGAGCUACAUCCCAUUGAGAUUCUAAUCAAUUCUUUUCGAUAUGAAAGUGCUUGCCUUUGGACCAUUCGAUGUUCAUCUUUUAAAUCAAGAAAGACAUGGAAUCGAAGAGCUAAAGAGACAUAUAGAAUCUUGUUUAACCUGAUAAUCGACACACCAUGUAUCUACUUUCCACUGUCUAUAACGUCAAACUCGCGGCGGGCUUGACGUUUUCGAGAAGAGAAACGAACGAAAAGAAAUACAAAAUUUAAGCCAUAUCCACAA